UUGCCCAGAAGAGACCGGCCGAAGACGAAAUCGCUGUAGUAUGAUAUACGUUAUAUUACCAAACAGUAAAAAAAGCAAAAUUGUGACAAUUUUUAAAAAGUUUUAUUAAAAAACACGAGUCUUAUUUUCUUAUAAUCACUCACCAACGACGGAAAGGUCUGAAGAUCGAAAUUCGUUCUCCGAAGACAGUAAUUCGACCAACUCCGAAUCGAGUAAACCAUAUCGGGUGGCACACAUGUGUCCAAUCACGGAGGAUACCUUGAGGACAUAAUACAAAUAUUAUAAUAAGGCUGUACCUUGUCUUUGCCGAGAUGUGAUUCGACGUUGUCAAAAAUGGCUUCCACCCACUUUUCAGCCGAGGGUGGUUGUUUUGAGUUUCGGAUCUUAG